rnacentral:rRNA from 1 species
GACGAACGCUGGCGGCGUGCUUAACACAUGCAAGUCGAACGGUGAAGCUCCAGCUUGCUGGAGUGGAUCAGUGGCGAACGGGUGAGUAACACGUGAGCAACCUGCCCCUGACUCUGGAAUAAGCGCUGGAAACGGCGUCUAAUACUGGAUACGAGAAGGGUCCGCAUGGGCACUUUCUGGAAAGUUUUUCGGUUGGGGAUGGGCUCGCGGCCUAUCAGCUUGUUGGUGAGGUAAUGGCUCACCAAGGCGACGACGGGUAGCCGGCCUGAGAGGGCGACCGGCCACACUGGGACUGAGACACGGCCCAGACUCCUACGGGAGGCAGCAGUGGGGAAUAUUGCACAAUGGGCGAAAGCCUGAUGCAGCGACGCCGCGUGAGGGAUGACGGCCUUCGGGCUGUAAACCUCUUUCAGCAGGGAAGAAGCGAAAGUGACGGUACCUGCAGAAGAAGCACCGGCUAACUACGUG